UACGUAGGGGGCAAGCGUUGUCCGGAUUUAUUGGGCGUAAAGAGCGUGUAGGCGGCCAUUCAGGUCAGCUGUGAAAACUCGAGGCUCAACCUCGAGACGUCGGUUGAAACCGUUUGGCUAGAGUCCGGAAGAGGAGAGUGGAAUUCCCGGUGUAGCGGUGAAAUGCGCAGAUAUCGGGAAGAACACCCGUGGCGAAGGCGGCUUUCUGGCCCGUUCUUGACGCUGAGGCGCGAAAGCUAGGGUAGCAAACGGG
rnacentral:rRNA from 1 species